CAGGGGCACAGCCAAGGAGCCAGCAGGUGGGAGCUCUCUGAAUGAGUCCCCUUUGGCAGCGAGCUCCCCACUACGCCCCGGUGACUCCCGCAGCAGCAUAGUGAACGGCGGAGCCAGGCACACAGCUCACUCAGGAGAGAGCUGCCCGAUGGGAACAAAUGCUGCAUUGGCAUCCCAGGUGUGGACGAGGGCUCUGCUUACCUCGGGGCUGAUGACUUCAAGUGGAUUAUACUGAACAGAGAGACUUACUGGAGGACACUGAGCUAGCUUAUCUGCCGCCACCAUCUGGACAUUGAGGUGUUUCGCUUGAGAUUUCCCUCGAGACUUUAUUAACC